rnacentral:sRNA from 1 species
CAUGCCCCUUAUAUGCUGGGCUACACACGUGCUACAAUGGGUAGAACAGAGAGUUGCAAAGCCGUGAGGUGAAGCUAAUCUCAGAAAACUAUUCUUAGUUCGGAUUGUACUCUGCAACUCGAGUACAUGAAGUUGGAAUCGCUAGUAAUCGCGAAUCAGCAAUGUCGCGGUGAAUACGUUCUCGGGUCUUGUACACACCGCCCGUCACACCACGAGAGUUGGUUGCACCUGAAGUAGCAGGCCUAACCGUAAGGAGGGAUGCUCCGAGGGUGUGAUUAGCGAUUGGGGUGAAGUCGUAACAAGGUAUCCGUACGGGAACGUGCGGAUGGAUCACCUCCUUUCUAAGGAGUAUAAGUCUUUCUCUAUUCUAUUGGUAAUGUUCUUUACAUUACUUCUGAACAUUGGAAACUAUAUAGUAGAACAAACAAGAAAAAAAUUAACUCUAACAAUUUCUUAGAGUUAGCUGUCAAAAAAUAGAUUAAAAUAAUUAAGGGCACACAAAGGAUGCCUAGGUAGUAAGAGCCGAUGAAGGACGUGGUAAGCUGCGAUAAGCCUAG